UGUAAUUUAGUGUAAUAAUGCAUUUAAAUUUUUGAAGUUUAAGGUUAAGUUUAAUUCUUUAAUUUACAA
rnacentral:tRNA from 1 species